rnacentral:rRNA from 1 species
AGAGUUUGAUCAUGGCUCAGAUUGAACGCUGACGGCACGCUUAACACAUGCAAGUCGAGCGAUUUAGUAGCUUUCGGGCUAUUAGGUAGCGGCGGACGGGUGAGUAACGCGUAGGAAUCUGCCUUAUUGAGUGGGACAACCUGGGGAAACCUGGGCUAAUACCGCAUAAGAUUUGUUGGCGAGAGCUGAUGAAUGAAAGC